ACCCGGCUGGCUCAGUCUGUGGAGCAUGCGACUCCGGAUCUCAGGAUGGUGAGUUCGAGCCCCACGUUGGGUG
rnacentral:tRNA from 1 species